GUGGUGCAAUCUCGGUUCACUGCAACCUCCGCCUCCCGGGUUCAAGUGAUUCUCCUGCCUCAGCCUCCCGAGUAGCUGGGAUUACAGGUGUGUGCCACCAUGUCCACCUAAUUUUUGUAGUUUUAGUAGAGAUGAGGUUUCACCAUAUUGAUCACGCUGGUCUCAAACUCCUGACAGGUGAUCCACCCACCUCGGCCUCCCGAAGUGCUGGGAUUACAGGCACGAGCCACCACCCCCAGCAGACAUACUUCAUUAUACAGUGCAAAAAAAGUCACAUUUUAAAAAUAUCACCACCGAGCUCACCAGGAUAGUCUUUACAUAUUCGGAAGCUGUCAAGUUCAUGGUAGCAGGUAUAAGAUUUUAAAAAUACUAAUUUUUGCUUAAAAGCUUGAAUUUUAUCACUUAUAACCCACAGGGGUCAUGGGCCACACUUUGAGAAUCACUGGCGUUAGAGGUUUGGUUGGAGAGACGCCAAGUAAGAGAACAUUUCCCUAACAUGCCCAAACACAUUCCUUUUCAGAGUGCUGAAGGAAUUUGAAAAUGAGGUCUCAGAAUUACCAGCAGUAAUUCCUGAUAAAUUAAGAAAAAUGGGAGAGAGUUCAGAGACAAAGACAUGAGAAAAGAUUGCCGUAACUCUCCAGAAGGAUGGAUUCUGGGUAAUGAAGGCCAGUAUGUUUAACACUGAUUCCCAGAAAAAGACUUUAAAUAUAUUCAGUAGCAGGUAGUUUAAGAACAUUAGAAGAUAAUUCGGUGAUUACCAGAUGUCAAUGAGGGCUAGGUAGGUCAUUUCAAAGCCUUCUCAAAUUUCAUUUUUUCUUUAUGAUCACCUGUCACAGUGCUUUACGUGAUGUACAUACAAAAAUGUUUGCGUAACUGUAUAAAACAGUUGAAUAAUAACUGUAUAGCAUAUUGCUUAUAUAAACUGCACAAAUCUCAUUUGAAUAAAAACCAUUUAUAAAGUACUUACAGUAUGCAAAAUAUGUUGGGCAAAGGGCAGGUCUGAGAGGCACACAUGAGGAAAACUAAAACAGAACAGAGGCCUAAUGGUAUUUUCAAGUGUUAUAAAAUAUGUGAAGUCUGCCUUGUGAGAGAAGGUAGCAUUGGCUUGUGGAAAGAGCAUAGCACAGGAAAUUAGAACAUCUGAUUGCUCAUCCUGGCUUUUCCAUCAACUUAAUGAAUGACCCGGAGUAAGUUACUUCACUUCGAGACCUAUGCUCUAUAUCUGCAAUAUUGAAAAUGCUGGAUAAGAUAAUCUCUAAAGCCCCAGAAAAAGAUGGAGUUGUACUCUUUCACUCCCAGGAACAUAUACUGGAACUUAUGAGUAGAACUUUGGAGAGACCAAGUUUGCCUCACAAUGAGUAAUAUUCUAGUUCUGCACUGUUGUAUAGUGACUCCAGUCACUAAGCUACAUGUCUCUAAGGAGCACUUGAAAUGUGACUGGUUCAAAGUGAGAUUUGCUGUACACAAGCAGAGACUGGGUCAUAGUUCUGACAAGAGGACCUCACAGAAGACUCCAUUUGGUGUGCAUUUGAUCUAAAUUUGUGUUCUCAAUCUGUGCUCAGAUGAAAGCUUGGGCUCCAGCAGCACCCAGAUUUGUCAUAGGGGAAGGAGGAGGAGGACAAAGAAGUCUUUCUGUCUUCCCUUCCUCUUUCAAACCGAGAGCUGAUCAGUAUGUAUUACUGAAUAAAUGAAUGAGUGUACAAAAUA